rnacentral:rRNA from 1 species
GCAAAGGUAGCAUAAUCAAUUGGCUUUUAAUUAAGGUCUAGUAUGAAAGGAUAAACGGAUAAUUACUGUCUCUUUUUGUUUUAAUUUAAAUUACUUAAGUAGUGAAAAUUCUACUAAAAAUAUAAUAGACGAGAAGACCCUUAGAGUUACACGAAGAAUAAAAAAGAUUUUAAAAUCGGAUUGUUGGGGCAACAAAAUUAAGCAAAAUCAUAAAUCAAUUUACUUUAAGAAUAUAUAAGGCGACUAAAAUUGUAAGUAUAAAAAACUACCUUAGGGAUAACAGCAUAAUUUUUGAAAGAUUGUGACCUCGAUGUUGGAU